AAGAGUAUAGCUAAAAUAGAAUAGCAUCUCCCUUACACUGAGAAGGUAUUCGUGCAAAUCGAAUUACUCUUA
rnacentral:tRNA from 2 species